rnacentral:rRNA from 1 species
UACGUAGGGUGCGAGCGUUAAUCGGAAUUACUGGGCGUAAAGCGUGCGCAGGCGGUUUUGUAAGCCAGAUGUGAAAUCCCCGAGCUUAACUUGGGAACUGCAUUUGGGACUGCAAGGCUAGAGUACGGCAGAGGGGGGUAGAAUUCCUGGUGUAGCAGUGAAAUGCGUAGAUAUCAGGAGGAAUACCGAUGGCGAAGGCAGCCCCCUGGGUCGAUACUGACGCUCA